rnacentral:rRNA from 1 species
UCAGGAUGAACGCUGGCGGCGUGCCUAAUGCAUGCAAGUCGCACGCAGCCCGCUUCGGCGGGGUGAGUGGCGCACGGCUGAGGAACACGUGGGUGACCUGCCCAACCGUGGGGGAUAACGGGCCGAAAGGUUCGCUAAUCCCGCAUACGCUCCUGCGGGAGGAAAGCGGCAACGCGCGGUUGGAGGGGCCUGCGGCCCACCAGGUAGUUGGUAGGGUAAGGGCCUACCAAGCCAAUGACGGGUCCCUGGUCUGAGAGGACGACCAGGCAGACUGGGACUGAGACACGGCCCAGACUCCUACGGGAGGCAGCAGCAAGGAAUUUUCCGCAAUGGGCGCAAGCCUGACGGAGCAACGCCGCGUGCAGGAUGACGGCCUUCGGGUUGUAAACUGCUUUUGUGGGGAAGAACCAGACGGACCCGGCGAAAAGCCCG